rnacentral:tRNA from 1 species
CAAGAAAUAGUUUAUUUAGAAUUUCAGCUUUGGGUGCUGAUGGUGGGGUCACAGACCUCUUUCUUGA